GAUGAACGCUGGCGGCGUGCCUAAUACAUGCAAGUCGAGCGAACGGACGAGAAGCUUGCUUCUCUGCUGUUGGCGGCGGACGGGUGAGUAACACGUGGAUAACCUACCUAUAAGACUGGGAUAACUUCGGGAAACCGGAGCUAAUACUGGAUGAUAUUUUGAACCGCAUGGUUCAAAAGUGAAAGACGGUCUUGCUGUCACUUAUAGAUGGAUCCGCGCUGCAUUAGCUAGUUGGUAAGGUAACGGCUUACCAAGGCAACGAUGCAUAGCCGACCUGAGAGGGUGAUCGGCCACACUGGAACUGAGACACGGUCCAGACUCCUACGGGAGGCAGCAGUAGGGAAUCUUCCGCAAUGGGCGAAAGCCUGACGGAGCAACGCCGCGUGAGUGAUGAAGGUCUUCGGAUCGUAAAACUCUGUUAUUAGGGAAGAACAUAUGUGUAAGUAACUGUGCACAUCUUGACGGUACCUAAUCAGAAAGCCACGGCUAACUACGUG
rnacentral:rRNA from 1 species